rnacentral:snoRNA from 1 species
ACGACCUUACUUGAACAGGAUCUAUUCUAUAGGAUCGUACUACUGUGUCCUUGAGUUUUAAGGAGACAGGAACAAAAAAAAAAUCACUU